GAUGAACGCUGGCGGCGUGCCUAAUACAUGCAAGUCGAGCGAACGGACGAGAAGCUUGCUUCUCUGAUGUUAGCGGCGGACGGGUGAGUAACACGUGGAUAACCUACCUAUAAGACUGGGAUAACUUCGGGAAACCGGAGCUAAUACCGGAUAAUAUUUUGAACCGCAUGGUUCAAAAGUGAAAGACGGUCUUGCUGUCACUUAUAGAUGGAUCCGCGCUGCAUUAGCUAGUUGGUAAGGUAACGGCCUACCAAGGCAACGGUGCAUAGCCGACCUGAGAGGGUGGUCGGUCACCCUGGAACUUCACCACGGUCCAAGCUCCUACGGGAGGCAGCGUUACGGGAACUUUCGGAAUAGGCGAAAGCCUGACGGAGGAACGGCGCGUGAAUCAAUAUAGUCUUAGGAUCCGAAAAACCUGUUAUUAGGGAAGAACAUAUGUGUAAGUAACUGUGCACAUCUUGACGGUACCUAGUCAGAAAACCACGGCUAACUACGUG
rnacentral:rRNA from 1 species